AUUGAACGCUGGCGGCAGGCCUAACACAUGCAAGUCGAACGAGUGGCGGACGGGUGAGUAAUAUAUCGGAACGUACCGAGUAAUGGGGGAUAACCAAUCGAAAGAUUGGCUAAUACCGCAUAUUAUUCGAGCGGCCGAUAACUGAUUAGCUAGUUGGUGGGGUAAAGGCCUACCAAGGCGACGAUCAGUAGCGGGUCUGAGAGGACGAUCCGCCACACUGGGACUGAGACACGGCCCAGACUCCUACGGGAGGCAGCAGUGGGGAAUUUUGGACAAUGGGGGCAACCCUGAUCCAGCCAUGCCGCGUGUAUGAAGAAGGCCUUCGGGUUGUAAAGUACUUUUGUUAGGGAAGCGGUACCUAAAGAAUAAGCACCGGCUAACUACGUGCCAGCAGCCGCGGUAAUUC
rnacentral:rRNA from 1 species